GACAUGCGGCUGCUACACAUGCAAGUCGAGCGGUAGAGAGGUGCUUGCAUCUCUUGAGAGCGGCGGACGGGUGAGUAAUACCUAAGAAUCUGCCUGGUAGUGGGGGAUAACGUUCGGAAACGGACGCUAAUACCGCAUACGUCCUACGGGAGAAAGCAGGGGACCUUCGGGCCUUGCGCUAUCAGAUGAGCCUAGGUCGGAUUUCUAGUUGGUGAGGUAAUGGCUCACCAAGGCUACGAUCCGUAACUGGUCUGAGAGGAUGAUCAGACACACUGGAACUGAGACACGGUCCAGACUCCUACGGGAGGCAGCAGUGGGGAAUAUUGGACAAUGGGCGAAAGCCUGAUCCAGCCAUGCCGCGUGUGUGAAGAAGGUCUUCGGAUUGUAAAGCACUUUAAGUUGGGAGGAAGGGCAUUAACCUAAUACGUUAGUGCUUUGACGUUACCGACAGAAUAAGCACCGGCUAACUCUGUGCCAGCAGCCGCGGUAAUACAGAGGGCGCAAGCGUUCCUCGGAAUUACUGGGCGUAAAGCCCGCGUAGGUGGCUUGCUAAGUUG
rnacentral:rRNA from 2 species